rnacentral:rRNA from 1 species
UGAGGAAUAUUGGACAAUGGGCGCAAGCCUGAUCCAGCCAUGCCGCGUGCAGGAUGACGGUCCUAUGGAUUGUAAACUGCUUUUAUACAGGAAGAAACCCCUUCUCGUGAGAAGGACUGACGGUACUGUAGGAAUAAGGAUCGGCUAACUCCGUGCCAGCAGCCGCGGUAAUACGGAGGAUCCAAGCGUUAUCCGGAAUCAUUGGGUUUAAAGGGUCCGUAGGCGGCCUUAUAAGUCAGUGGUGAAAUCCCGCAGCUCAACUGUGGAAUGGCCAUUGAUACUGUAGGGCUUGAAUUAUUGUGAAGUAACUAGAAUAUGUAGUGUAGCGGUGAAAUGCUUAGAUAUUACAUGGAAUACCCAUUGCGAAGGCAGGUUACUAACAAUAUAUUGACGCUGAUGGACGAAAGCGUGGGGAGCGAACAGG